rnacentral:misc_RNA from 1 species
GAUGAAGAACGUAGCGAAAUGCGAUAAGUCGUGUGAAUUGCAGAAUUCAGUGAAUCAUCGAAUCUUUGAACGCACAUUGCGCCCCUUGGUAUCCCGAGGGGCAUGCCUGUUCGAGCGUCAUUUCACCACUCAAGCCUGGCUUGGUGUUGGGCGACGUCCCCUUUGGGGACGCGCCUCGAAACGCUCGGCGGCGUGGCACCGGCUUUAAGCGUAGCAGAAUCUUUCGCUUUGGAAGUCGGGGCCCCGUCUGCCGGAAGACCUACUCGCAAGGUUGACCUCGGAUCAGGCAGGGAUACCCGCUGAACUUAAGCAUAUCAAUAAGCGGAGGA